rnacentral:tRNA from 1 species
AGUCUUAUAGUCAAUAAUGAUGUUAAAUUGCAAAUUUAAAGGGAAAUUUACUAAUUUUAAGGCUU